CAAUAGCGUAUAUUAAAGUUGUUGCAGUUAAAAAGCUCGUAGUUGGAUUUCUGGUGGGAGCGACCGGUCGGCGCUUAACGGCGUGUGCACUGGAGUUGUCUCUUGCCAUCCUUGAGGAGAACGUGUCUGGCAUUAAGUUGUCGGGCUUGGGAUCCUCAUCGUUUACUGUGAAAAAAUUAGAGUGUUUAAAGCAGGCAUUUGCUGUGAAUACAUUAGCAUGGAAUAAUAAGAUAGGACUUUGGUGCUAUUUUGUUGGUUUGCGUCCCAAGGUAAUGAUUAAUAGGGAUAGUUGGGGGUAUUCGUAUUCAAUUGUCAGAGGUGAAAUUCUUGGAUUUAUGGAAGACGAACAACUGCGAAAGCAUUUACCAAGGAUGUUUUCAUUAA
rnacentral:rRNA from 1 species